rnacentral:rRNA from 1 species
UCGAGAAUCUUCCGCAAUGGGCGCAAGCCUGACGGAGCGACGCCGCGUGUGCGAUGAAGGCCUUCGGGUUGUAAAGCACUGUCGAGGGGGAGGAAAGCCGCAAGGUCUGACCUAUCCCUGGAGGAAGCACGGGCUAAGUUCGUGCCAGCAGCCGCGGUAAGACGAACCGUGCGAACGUUGUUCGGAAUCACUGGGCUUAAAGGGCGCGUAGGCGGGCCAGCAAGUCCGGGGUGAAAUCCUCCGGCUUAACCGGAGAACUGCCUUGGAUACUGCUGGUCUUGAGGGAGGUAGGGGUCUGUGGAACUUCUGGUGGAGCGGUGAAAUGCGUUGAUAUCAGAAGGAACGCCGGUGGCGAAAGCGACGGACUGGACCUCUUCUGACGCUGAGGCGCGAAAGCUAGGGGAGCAAACGGGAUUAGAUACCCCCGUAGUCC